rnacentral:tRNA from 1 species
GGCCCUAUCGUCUAGUGGCUAGGACGCAUGGUUCUCAUCCAUGUAACAGCGGUUCGACUCCGCUUAGGGCUGCCA